rnacentral:tRNA from 1 species
UAUUUAUAUAGUUUAAAUAAAACAUUACAUUUUCAUUGUAAAAUCAAAAUCUAAAUUUUUAUAAAU